rnacentral:miRNA from 1 species
CCAUGUGUGGGAGUUCAGGACUUGGGAACCUGGAUGAUUACUUACCUGGUCUCUGACCUGGAUUCCCAG